rnacentral:lncRNA from 1 species
GCAACACUCCUUAACGACUGGAUAGCAUGAAGUAUACAAUUUACUCUCAAGAACCAGUAAAACAAUAAUGUAGUAAUUCCUUCUGUCCUUAUAGCUCUGGAUCACCCUAGGAUAUAGUUCAAUUGUCAAAUCCUAAUAGGCGAUCAACUAUGUAUUCACGUCAAAUAUAAUCGACCAUUGAAUGACCUAAGAAACUCAUUUCUUCUUUCAUUCAAUUGCCCUGGCCAAGGUNNNNNCUAUGUAUUCACGUCAAAUAUAAUCGACCAUUGAAUGACCUAAGAAACUCAUUUCUUCUUUCAUUCAAUUGCCUUGGCCAAGGUCUUAGUUUGGUCGUUCAUAAUUCAUGACAAC